GUGGGGAAUCUUCCGCAAUGGACGAAAGUCUGACGGAGCAACGCCGCGUGAGUGAUGAAGGUCUUCGGAUUGUAAAGCUCUGUUAAUCGGGACGAAAGAGCCUAGUGUGAAUAAUGCUAGGAAGUGACGGUACCGGAAUAGAAAGCCACGGCUAACUACGUGCCAGCAGCCGCGGUAAUACGUAGGUGGCAAGCGUUGUCCGGAAUUAUUGGGCGUAAAGCGCGCGCAGGCGGAUCUGCUAGUCUGUCUUAAAAGUUCGGGGCUUAACCCCGUGAUGGGAUGGAAACUACAGAUCUAGAGUAUCGGAGAGGAAAGUGGAAUUCCUAGUGUAGCGGUGAAAUGCGUAGAUAUGGGGAGGAACACCAGUGGCGAAGGCGGCUUUCUGGACGGUGUCUGACACUGAGGCGCGAAAGCCAGGGGAGCGAACGGGAUUAGAUACCCUUGUAGUCC
rnacentral:rRNA from 1 species